AUAAAUAGUGUUAUCCAAGUGUUAGAACUAUACAUAACUACAUAUACUGUACUUAAUAACUAUAACUAUACAUUUAUUCAUUUAUUCCUGCGUGCGUGUAUUAAGCAGCAGUUAUUACAGGCAAUCAACUCUUUUUGCUGACACAUUCAGAAUGCUGUUAGAGCUGGCCCUCACUCUUCGCACAAGGAAUAUAGCUCGCUUGCGCAUGGUGGUGUAGAAGUAGUCUACCCGUGUGCCUCCGCGAACAUUCCCUAUGCAUGCCCGAUGCACUACAGAAUUUGGGCAGCCCCAUCAGCAUUCUGAAAGCGUUAUUAUAUUGAACACGCAGAGCGCAGUACCGCUUAUGAGUAUAAUCAGCCCACAGGUUGCUUGUGUAGAAGGUCGUACAGUAAGCCAUAUAUAGGGCGACCUUCACAUCUUCGGAACAGUGAGCAAACAAUCAGAUUGCGAGCUAUCAUAUUGCAAUGUAAAACAUCGCUGAACGUAUUGUAUAUUGCUGAAUUAACAUAUAAGUUUAAGGAAAAAUUCGUAACUGUAAAGUAUGUAAAUCCUUUUCUUCGUAAUGACGUCAUAUUGUAAUGUGUCGGAGAGAGGUUUUGGACAGAACGAUUUUUACUGCAUUGUGCUUGUUUUUACGACGAGGACCACCCAACAUCUAAAGGUGCAUCUACAACUUUUGUGGAGCAACUGCGGAGCAACACUGUGCAACAGUGAGAAACUAGAUAAGUUUCCUAAUGUCACCGUGUUGCCAGUGUGGCUUCACAGAAAUUAGCUGCGAUGUGCAAUGCACCUUAACAAAGAUCAUUCUUGCAGACCUCUACUACGGAACAUCCCAACUACGAAACAAGGUGCUCUACCACCGUGGAUAGAAAUACCACCCCAAGCAGGAGAAGAAUGGUAAAACCAAGUGGCAUUGCGGGACCCAUCGCCGUGCCGGUUGUACAGGGACUCUUCGAUAUGAGAGCGAGUUUUUGAGAGCACAUGAACUGUGAUGAAAUCAUGGUCCUGUGAUUUGAUCUUUUGGGAUAUAUGUAGUACAUACUUGGUACCACAUGAUAGUGGAAUACCGGACUAUAUGCUUAGCAAUCGGAGAGGAUGAAUUGUUUAGUGAAGUAAAAGUAAAGUGUAAAAUGAUGUACCUGAAAUGCAGAGGCGGCAUUGUACAUAAUAUCAAAUUAUUUACUCGGAUGCAUCCUUAAAAUAUCUUUCGUUAAGAUAGAGCGGGCUUACUCGGAGCUGAUUGUAAACAUGAGUAUCCUCUUCAAUACGUUUGCUUAUUUAAAAAAAAAACAUAUAAUAAAACGAAUAUCAAAUUUCAGUGUUAUUUUUCGGGACGUCACAUCUAGGCAAUAAGAUGUAGUUCUACAGAGGCUACGAGCACCACGAGAAAGUGAGACGGGCAAUAAGACCGCUAGGCACUGUGGCACCCAUAGAAACCGCGGCUCGGGAAUGGUCACUGUUAUCGGUGACAAGGAGUCCUCGCUCUGGGUCGUAUCUGGGUCAGCAGGUCUUCAUAGCGGGUCAGCGAGGAAACGCAGCGCACCUUUGAGCCAGGUGCGAUCCAGGGGGGGUUAUUUCAGAUUUAGUUUUAUAGGUUGUAGUUUAAAUGUUAUUUUAUUUAUAUUUAAUUUAUUUCGAAAUGUAACUUAUGUAACUACUUUUGUAUUUUUACCAUGGUGCAAUAAACAGGGAAACACAUUUAAGGUAACAUUUACCUAGGUACUAAAAAUGUUAUUUUUCAGCUUACUUCGGAGUAUCGCGACAAGGUGGUCGCAUUCUGUACUACAACAGGUACAAAUACCACGUGAAGAGACACAAUAACUUCAGAACUCAGUGGCAAUGCGGCACCCAUCAGCGCAGGGCGGGCUGUACCGCCUCUGUAACUACGAUUGACGACGUCGUUAUAAAAUCAAAUGAGAAUCACAAUCACGAGAUUCCAAUAAAAGGACCGUGUAGAUAAUUAGAAACGAAAAUGUAUGAUUUCGAUACGAUGACAUAAAUAAUUGAACAGUAUUGUUACUAAGUAUAGUUAUGUAUGGAUAGUUCUAACACUUGGAUAAGAUUAUUUUACCAACGCAAUGAUCCCUGAUGGUCUUAAAUAAAUAAAUUAUUACUAUUAUAACAACAAUAAAUAUUUUUCAAACGUUGUA